CGGUUGAUCCUGCGGCCCCACUGCUAUCGAGAUAGGACUAAGACAUGCUAGUCGAGCGCUUCAGCCAAAAAGAGGCGCGGCAUACAGCUCAGUAACACGUGGCUAUCUGCCCUUAGGACGAGAACAACCCCGGGAAACUGGGGCUAAUUCUCGAUAGGCGAAGAACUCUGGAAUGAGUCUUCACCCAAAAAGCUUUACGUUAUGCGCGUGAAGUCGCCUAAGGAUGAGGCCGCGACCGAUCAGGUUGUUGGUGAGGUAAUGGCUCACCAAGCCUUUUACCGGUGCAGGCCGUGAGAGCGGGAGCCCGGAGAUGGGCACUGAGACAAGGGCCCAGGCCCUACGGGGCGCAGCAGUCGCGAAAACUUUGCAAUACACGAAAGUGUGACAGGGCUAUCCCGAGUGCCAUCCGCUGAGGAAGGCUUUUACCCAGUCUAGAACGCUGGGGGAAUAAGGAGAGGGCAAGUCUGGUGUCAGCCGCCGCGGUAAUACCAGCUCUCCGAGUGGUGUGGAUGUUUAUUGGGCCUAAAGCAUCCGUAGCUGGCUAAGUUAGUCCCUUGUUAAAUCCACCGAAUUAAUCGUUGGAUUGCGGGGGAUACUGCUUGGCUAGGGGACGAGAGAGGCAGACGGUAUUCCCGGGGUAGGGGUGAAAUCCUAUAAUCCCGAGAAGACCACCAGUGGCGAAGGCUGUCUGCUAGAACGCGCCCGACGGUGAGGGAUGAAAGCUGGGGGAGCGAACCGGAUUAGAUACCCGGGUAGUCCCAGCUGUAAACGAUGCAGGCUAGGUGUUUGGACGGCCACGUGCCGUUCUAGUGCCGCAGGGAAGCUGUUAAGCCUGCCGCCUGGGGAGUACGAUCGCAAGAUUGAAACUUAAAGGAAU
rnacentral:rRNA from 1 species